rnacentral:lncRNA from 1 species
UACAGCGCGGUUUCAUUCCACUUAUUGCUGUUUUUCCUGGUCGCUGUGUUUUUCAUGAUCCCACAUAUUCGCGGUGUAUGCUAACCAUGCAGUUUUGAGGUUUACUUUCAGGCUUUUCUUCUAGUCCCGCCGACCUUCCAGGAGGAGUCCAUGGAGCGCCGCACAUUAUUCUCAACAUGGGCCGGCGGAUGUCCAGUUCCUGAACGAGCUGUGCAUCGAAGGCUGUCCAGCCCGAGUCCACGGUGGAGAUGGCGUUGAGCAGCACCCUUCCUGUGGCAGUGUCGGCAGCACUUCCGCAUUCAACCGCCGAUAGUCCUGUCAGCAGGAGGGUCUUCAAUAAGCGCCAUAUGCUUUUCCGCGUCUGUCUUCCACUGCUACCCGUGACAAGGACAUUGAGCUGGGUCCUGCAGACUGCUUCUAAUGCCUAUGUUCCUGAGGUCCCCUGGGCAUCACACGCCACAUGGCCGAACUUGCUUCCAUCUUCGCACUGCUUCGCUGAUGGCGUCAUCGAGGGAGACUGCGCAUUGCUGCUACUCGUGGAAUCCUGUUGCCUAACCGCGCCUGUCUUCCAUUGCUACCCGUGACAAGGACAUGGAGCUGGCUCCUGCAGAUUGGUUCCAAUGUAUACGUUCCUGAGGUCUCCUGGCCAUCAUACGCCACAUGACCGAACUUACUGCCACCUUCGCACUGCUUCGCUGAUGGUGUCAUCGAGGGCGACUGCACAUUGCUGCUACUUGUGGAAUCCUGUUGCCUAACCGCGCCUGUCUUCCAUUGCUACCCGUGACAAGGACAUGGAGCUGGCUCCUGCAGAUUGGUUCCAAUGUAUACGUUCCUGAGGUCUCCUGGCCAUCAUACGCCACAUGACCGAACUUACUGCCACCUUCGCACUGCUUCGCUGAU